rnacentral:rRNA from 1 species
ACACUCCUGCGGGAGGCAGCAGUGAGGAAUAUUGGACAAUGGGUGGAAGCCUGAUCCAGCCAUCCCGCGUGCAGGAAGACGGCCCUAUGGGUUGUAAACUGCUUUUAUCUGGGGAUAAACCUACUUACGUGUAAGUAGCUGAAGGUACCAGAAGAAUAAGCACCGGCUAACUCCGUGCCAGCAGCCGCGGUAAUACGGAGGGUGCAAGCGUUAUCCGGAUUUAUUGGGUUUAAAGGGUCCGUAGGCGGACUGAUAAGUCAGUGGUGAAAUCCGACAGCUUAACUGUCGAACUGCCAUUGAUACUGUUAGUCUUGAGUAAGGUUGAAGUGGCUGGAAUAAGUAGUGUAGCGGUGAAAUGCAUAGAUAUUACUUAGAACACCAAUUGCGAAGGCAGGUCACUAAGUCUUAACUGACGCUGAUGGACGAAAGCGUGGGGAGCGAACAGGAUUAGAAACCCCAGUAGUCCCAUG